AGGAAAAAAAAACCAGCAAACUUAUAGUGCUGUUCUCGUUUACUGAAAGCCCAGGUGUCUGUCCCUACGGUUUCUAGGAAUGAUAUUCCAGAUCUACAAAUCUUUACCACCAAAUUGGAAACGUUUCCUUCUCGUUCAACCUAGCAAGUAGAAGACAGUGUGGCAGUGAACUGGAGAAACUUUAUGAUACCAGCAGAGGUAAUGUGAUUCCUCCAAGGAUGCAUAAAGGAAGAAAAUAGUAUAGACCAUACACACUCCCAGGAACUGUUCCGAACCACCAGGCUGUGUGGCAACUCUGUAGAACUUUCACUUCUGCUACCUUCUGAAGGACUUGUAAUGCUCAGUAUUUUUGAAAGAAUAAAAUGAACUGGGUAUGGUGACACAUUCCUGGAUUCCAGCACUCUGGAGUGAGAUGCAGGCAGAUAUGUGUUUGAGGCCAGCCUGGUCUACAGACUGAGUGCCAGAGUAGCCAGGGUUCAGUUUGGAAACCCCACUUCAAAAACCCCAAAACUAAAAAAAACCAAAAUACUGAAUAAAAAUAUUUAAACACUUA